GGUUCAGGAUGAACGCUAGCGAUAGGCCUAACACAUGCAAGUCGAGGGGCAUCACAUGAAGCAGCAAUGCGGAUGGUGGCGACCGGCGCACGGGUGAGUAACGCGUAUGCAAUCUACCUACAACAGGGGAAUAACCCGUUGAAAGACGGACUAAUGCCCCAUAAUACAGGGGUCCCGCAUGGGAAUAUUUGUUAAAGAUUUAUCGGUUGUAGAUGAGCAUGCGUUCCAUUAGCUGGUUGGUGAGGUAACGGCCCACCAAGGCAACGAUGGAUAGGGGAACUGAGAGGUUUAUCCCCCACCACUGGUACUGAGACACGGACCAGACUCCUACGGGAGGCAGCAGUGAGGAAUAUUGGUCAAUGGACGCAAGUCUGAACCAGCCCCACGUCGCGUGAAGGAAGACGGCCCUACGGGUUGUAAACUUCUUUGUAAGGGAAUAAAGUGUAGUACGCGUACUAUUUUGCAUGUACCUUACGAAUAAGGAUCGGCUAACUCCGUGCCAGCCGCCGC
rnacentral:rRNA from 1 species